GGCCUUGUGGUGCAGUGGUAGCAUACUCGCUUUGGGUGCGAGUGGUCCCGGGUUCAAACCCCGGCGAGGCCC